GUGACUAUAGUGUAAUAGGUCAACACACGAGAUCGUGGCCCUCGUAAUUCGGGUUCAAUUCCCGGUAGUCACCCCA
rnacentral:tRNA from 1 species